GGAAUAGUUCAAUAGGUAGAACGUCGGAAUCAUAAUCCGGAUGUUGGAGGUUCAAGUCCUCUUUCC
rnacentral:ncRNA from 14 species